rnacentral:rRNA from 1 species
GUUUGAUCCUGGCUCAGGAUGAACGCUGGCGGCGUGCUUAACACAUGCAAGCCGAACGCACCUUCGGGUGAGUGGCGGACGGGUGAGUAACGCGUGGGAACCUGCCCUCAAGAGGGGGAUAACGGCUGGAAACGGCCGCUAAUAUCCCAUAUGCCGAGAGGUGAAAUGAAUUUCGCCUGAGGAUGGGCCCGCGUCUGAUUAGCUAGUUGGUGGGGUAAAGGCCUACCAAGGCGACGAUCAGUAGCUGGUCUGAGAGGAUGAUCAGCCACACUGGGACUGAGACACGGCCCAGACUCCUACGGGAGGCAACAGUGGGGAAUUUUCCGCAAUGGGCGAAAGCCUGACGGAGCAACGCCGCGUGAGGGAUGAAGGCCUCUGGGCUGUAAACCUCUUUUCUCAAGGAAGAAGGACUGACGGUACUUGAGGAAUAAGCCACGGCUAAUUCCGUGCCAGCAGCCGCGGUAAUACGGGAGUGGCAAGCGUUAUCCGGAAUUAUUGGGCGUAAAGCGUCCGCAGGUGGCCCUGUAAGUCUGUCGUUAAAGCGUGGAGCUUCACUCCAUUUAAUGCGAUGGAUACUACAGGGCUAGAGUGUGGUACGGGCAGAGGGAAUUCCCGGUGUAUCGGUGAAAUGCGUAGAUAUCGGGAAGAACACCAGUGGCGAACGCGCUCUGCUGGGCCAUCACUGACACUCAUGGACGACAGCCAGGGGAGCGAAAGGGAUUAGAUACCCCUGUAGUCCUGGCCGUAAACGAUGAACACUAGGUGUCGGGGGAAUCGACCCCCUCGGUGUCGUAGCCAACGCGUUAAGUGUUCCGCCUGGGGGAGUACGCACGCUAGUGUGAAACUCAAAGGAAUUGACGGGGGCCCGCACAAGCGGUGGAGUAUGUGUUUAACUUCGAUGCAACGCGAGAAACCUUACCAGGGCUUUGACAUGCAUGCGAUCACUUUGGAAACGAGGCGAGUGCCUUUCAGCAGCGCAUAGACAUGGUCGGUGAAUCGCUAGUCAGAAUCAUGCUCGUGUCGUGAGAUGUUGGGUUAAGUCCCGCAACGAGCGCAACCCACGUCGUUAGUUGCCAGCAUUCAGUUGGGCACUCUAGCGAGACCGCCGGUGAUAAACCGGAGGAAGGUGUGGAUGACGUCAAGUCAUCAUGCCCCUUACAUCCUGGGCUACACACGUAUUACAAUGCUACGGACAAAGGGCAGCGAGCUCGCGAGAGUAAGCAAAUCCCAUAAACCGUGGCUCAGUUCAGAUCGUAGGCUGCAACUCGCCUACGUGAAGGAGGAAUCGCUAGUAAUCGCAGGUCAGCAUACUGCGGUGAAUACGUUCCCGGGCCUUGUACACACCGCCCGUCACACCAUGGAAGUUGGCCACGCCCGAAGUCGUUACUCCAACCCGCAAGGGAGGAGGACGCCGAAGGUGGGGCUGAUGACUGGGGUGAAGUCGUAACAAGGUAGCCGU